GUUAGUAAAAUUUUUGUUAGGCUUAGAUCGAUAAAGCCUCAACUAAAAUUUCACCAAACAACAUAAUGAUCAAACAAAUGUGUUGAGGUUCUAUGCCUUGAAAGUUCAAGAACUUUCUUGGAAUAAAAAUAAUGACAAUACAAACAAGAAAAAGAGAGAGAGAAGAAGAAGAUGAUGAUAUAAAUGAUUGAAUGAACAAUCAGAUGCAAGUAAAGUAUAUUAAGACUACUCCUAUCUAAGUUUAAACUACUCAUAUGUAGAUUAGAUCUACUCCUAGGAUGGAAAAGAAAUAGAAAUCAAGUCAUGUAUUAAUUUGUUGGUGUCUUACAAUAGAACCAUUAAUGGCAAUUUAUAGAAAAAAUGAAGGAAAAAACUUCCAUUAACCACCACCUAAAUAACUACUUUUAACUUCCUAAAUCUUCAAUAUUCUUUCUUACAAUGCCAUGUGUCUUUCAUCCCUUGAAUCUUCAAAACUUGUCUUAACUUCUCUUUAACCUCCAACAUAAUAAUAAUAAUAAGAAGAAGAAGAAGAAGAAGAAGAAGAAGAAGAAAAAGAAGUAAUAGAAAAUUUAAACCUAGUCAUAGUCGACAGAAAAUUUAUUUGUGGUGCAAACUAUUACAUAUUGUGAUAUUAGUACAUUUGCUAUCUUUUUUGUUUGUUUGUUUGUUUCUUCUUAUCUACUUGAAUUGCACACACACUCAUCACUUGUGCCAGAUGCUAGUAUACAUAUAUGUAGAGAAUAACAUUAGACAAUUAUAAGUCUUGACUUUUUUUCCAUACCACUAUAAAUAUCUUUUAUAUCCCUCCAUAUUUAUUUUGUAAGCCUCACUUUGGGCUUACAACAAUGAUUCGAACGGUUCAUAUCGUAAAUCUUAUAGUGAAAAUCACAUAUGCAAAAAAUCAGUUUCGUCAGAUAUCGAUGAAUAUAUGAACAAAUCAUAUUUUUAUUUUAUAAAAUUGACGGUUUAAGUUAAACUCACAGUUACUAUCCAUUUAAAAGAAACAAAAUGUAAUUUGUUCAUGUGUCUACUGAUGUUUAAUGAAACUUAUUUUUUCCUACAACUCGUCUUUAGUGUUGGGCUUACAAGAUGAACGGUUCAUAUCAUCAUUAUGGGCUUGGGAUGUGAAUCAUGAAAUAGACUUUGGCGGACUAUGGAGGAUAGUGGUAUGGAGGAGGGUCAUAGGUAAUGUUACGGUUCGUGAAAUAAAUAUCAUGAAAAGUUUCAUUAAACUAAUCCAAAAGUGAUUGCAUAAUAUACAAUAAAACACUACAAACUAAACCAAAAUGAAGAAUCUUCAUAAUUUUUUUUUACGAUAUUUCUUUUAUGAAACUUAACAUUAUUGGAGGGUCAUUCCCUAAUGGAAGGAAAUCAACUCAAUAUAACAAAAUUUCCAUAAUAGAAAAAAAAAAAAAAAAGUUCUUACCUUUACAGGACUCUACUCAUUAACCUCCCAAUUAAAAUGUACAGGAGUGAUCAAUUAGUAAAUACCACAUAGUCCUUAGAUGUCAGUUUUUGUUAAAAUAUGGACAAUAGUUAGUAAUUGGAUAAAAUUAAGAAAAAUAAAUAACCUAAAUAGUUUUUUUUUUAAAUUUUAAAUUUUUAAUUUUUUUAAUGGGUUAAACAAGAACCAAACUAGCUACAAAGUUUCAUCCAUAACAAGAUGAGAUAACUCAGAGGGACCUUCUUCCAUCCAAACCUUCAACCCAAGUGCAUGUUGGGCCAUCCGAGCCAAUUCAUGAGCAAUUUUAUUUCAUUCUCUUAAGAUGUAUGAGCAAUAGAAUCUCCGAAAUCCUCUACUCAAUCCAAUUGCACCUUGAAUAAUAUGUCCAAAAGGAGAUAACAAUUGUCCAUUUUCUUGGAAAGCCUUCACAAUAUUCAGUGAGUCACCUUCCAACUCUGUCAUUCCCAAUCCUAACUCUCGGGCAAACUCCACCGCCCUUGCGGCUGCACAAGCUCCACACAAUCUGCCUCCACGCAUUGUUGGAGCCUCUCUAAUAAUGCACGAAUCACUUGCCAAUUUUGAUCUCAAACAAUCACCCCAACCCCAAUAGCUUUUUCUCGCCCAAAAACAACACCAUCAAAGUUGAGCUUGAAGACACCCACACCCGGAGGUUUCCAUUGUCAGUGAUUCAUGAGGGGGCACCAUUAAUCCUUUACGAUAUCAAUUACAAAACUUACCCAAAUCUAAUUUUUAUUUGGCGAUAGAAUGACCAAAGAUUUACGUGAUGUCAAAAUUAUGUGCCUUAGAUAUGUUUUAAUUAACCGGUGUUUUUUUUAUUUGCUAUUUUAAUUACUAAAUAUAAUGAUAAUCACAAUUUAAAAUGUAAUAAAAUGCAUACAAAAAAAGAAAGGAAAAAAAAGAAUAAGAUAGAUGUGGAGGAAAACAAGAGACAAAUGAGAGAGAUAGAAAUAAUUAUAAGAAAAUAUUUUGAUAAAAUUAAACAUUAAUUAUUAGGAAUUUAUUAAAAAGAAAGAGAGAAGAAAGAUGAGAUACAAACAUUUUAAAACAUAUUUAAAAAUUUAAAGGGAGUUAAAUAAAAAAAAAAUCUAAUUAGAGAUAAAAGUGUAAUUUUUAAAAAAAUGAGGGGCACGUGCCCCCUGAACCCUAUGUAGCUUCGUCCAUGGCCAUCGUAGUGGAAUGUGACCUAGACGAGGGCCUUGCACCGCGCCUUUGCUUGCCCAAACUCCUGUAGUAAAUCACAAGCUUGCCUCAUAAUCUUCUUAGUAAUCCCAACAUUUUUAUUAAAGAUGGCUUGACUUUGGGCUAACCAUAGACCCCCCAACA